rnacentral:misc_RNA from 1 species
GAUGAAGAACGUAGCGAAAUGCGAUACGUAAUGUGAAUUGCAGAAUUCAGUGAAUCAUCGAAUCUUUGAACGCAUAUUGCGCUCUUUGGUAUUCCGAAGAGCAUGCUUGUUUGAGUAUCAGUAAACACCUCAAAGCUUUUGGAUUUUUUAAUCGAAAAGCUUUGGACUUGAGCAAUCCCAACACCAAUCUUUUUGAGAUCGGUGGCGGGUUGCUUGAAAUGCAGGUGCAGCUGGACAUUCUCCUGAGCUAAAUGCAUAUUCAUUUAGUCCCGUCAAACGGAUUAUUACUUUUGCUGCAGCUAACAUAAAGGGAGUUUGACCGUAUUGGCUGACUGAUGCAGGAUUUCACAAGGGUCGGCAACGAUUCUUGUUAAACUCGAUCUCAAAUCAAGUAAGACUACCCGCUGAACUUAAGCAUAUCAAUAAGCGGAGGA